CGCGGCCGCGGAAGCGGGGCGGCGCGGAACGGAGCGGCGGCGGCAGAAGCAGAAGCGGCGGUGGCAGCGGCAGCAACGGCGGGGGCUGAACGGGGGGUCCCGGCUGCAAGGCCGAGCGGUGCAAACACAGAUCACCCUCCUUCCCCCCCACAAGUCUCCUCUCCCCCCUGCUCCAGCCGCUUUUUUCCGUUGCCUCUUGGAGAGAGCUGGGGAGGAAAGGGGGGGGGGGGGAGGGUGCGAUGGGAAGAAAAAAAAAAAAGUGCCUUUAAUUUUUUUUUAGUUAUUAUUUAUUUUUAUAUUUAAUUUGGGGAGGGGGUCACUUUCGCAUUUAAAAAGGAACCUUCCCUCCUUAAAAAAAACCACAAAGAACUCAGCGAGCAAAGCCAGGAUCCUGCUGCAUUGCACUGGAUUUUUGCUUUUUUGGUUUUUUGGGUUUUUUUUCCUUCUUUAAAAAUUUUUUUUCGCUCCAUCAGCUUUUUUUUUUUUUUUUUUUUUCUUUCCCAAUACUUUUUGCAAACAGCCGCACUCAGCUUAAGACCUCCGGCGGGAUUUACUCUCGGGGAAAGAAGCUGUUUCCUUAAGGAAUCCCCCGCGAUGCACUCCUCUUAUUUCUGUUUGUUUUCCAUUUUUAUUUUUAUUUUAAUAUAUUUUUUGCCAGGAUUUUCCAGACACCCCCCCCCCAAAGAAAAAAUUUCUUUUUUCUUUUUAUCCGUUUUCUCUUUUCCAGGUCUCUGGAAUGGUGGGUUAAUUCUUUGUAGCUGUUCUUACUGUUGCAAAAUAACCUGGGCUGCAGGGGGAGGGGUCUGUCACCCCAGCUUUCCUCCGGUCCCAAAUGGAAAUGUAUCGUUCGGUAUGUAAAUCUGCCGAGCUUUCUGCCACUCUGUCCCUUAGCCUUGCGUAUUUAUUUUCAGUGGGCCUGCUGCGAGGGUUUGUCUCGAGGAGGGGGGGAUCAGCAGUUCGCAGGGCUCGUUUUUCUUUUCCCCGGUCGGCUUUUAGCGAGGUGGCUGCGGCCGCUCGGGGUGGCAGGGAGCAGGGGGAGGGCUGCGAUGGCAUUCCCGGGCCCUUGCAAUUAAUAGAAAUUUGUUUACGAGAAUAACCACCGCAGGUCACCGUGCCCUCGGUCCACUAAUGCAAUUGCUCAGAGCUACUGAUUCAGCCGCCGCCGAGCCCGACGGAGCGGCCGGCUCGAACGCAGAAAGUCCACGGGUUCUGCUUCUGUUUGGAUUUCUCAGCCGAGCUCUCGAACUGAAACGCUUUACAGCAAAGAGGGGGAGGAAAAGAAAAAAGAAAAAAAAAAGAAUAUAAUAAAUUAGGAAGAAAGCC